rnacentral:rRNA from 1 species
UAGGGAAUCUUCGGCAAUGGGGGCAACCCUGACCGAGCAACGCCGCGUGAGUGAAGAAGGUUUUCGGAUCGUAAAGCUCUGUUGUAAGUCAAGAACGGGUGUGAGAGUGGAAAGUUCACACUGUGACGGUAGCUUACCAGAAAGGGACGGCUAACUACGUGCCAGCAGCCGCGGUAAUACGUAGGUCCCGAGCGUUGUCCGGAUUUAUUGGGCGUAAAGCGAGCGCAGGCGGUUUGAUAAGUCUGAAGUUAAAGGCUGUGGCUCAACCAUAGUUCGCUUUGGAAACUGUCAAACUUGAGUGCAGAAGGGGAGAGUGGAAUUCCAUGUGUAGCGGUGAAAUGCGUAGAUAUAUGGAGGAACACCGGUGGCGAAAGCGGCUCUCUGGUCUGUAACUGACGCUGAGGCUCGAAAGCGUGGGGAGCGAACAGGAUUAGAUACCCUGGUAGUCCACGCCGUAAACGAUGAGUGCUAGGUGUUGGAUCCUUUCCGGGAUUCAGUGCCGCAGCUAACGCAUUAAGCACUCCGCCUGGGGGAGUACGACCGCAAGGUUGAAACUCU